rnacentral:rRNA from 1 species
CAGCAGCCACGGUAAUACGAGGGGCGCAAGCGUUAUUCGGAUUGAUUGGGUGUAAAGGGUGUGCAGACGGCUUAUUAAGUCACUUGCUAAAUUCUUCGGCCUAACUGAAGGUCUGCAAGUGAUACUGAUGAGCUAGAGGGUGGAAGAGAGAAGUGGAAUUCUCGGAGUAGCGGUAAAAUGCGUAGAUCUCGAGAGGAACACCAAUGGCGAAGGCAGCUUCUUGGUCCAUUCCUGACGUUCAUACACGAAAGCGUGGGGAGCAAACAGGAUUAGAUACCCCCGUAGUCCCUGUCUCUUAUAC